rnacentral:rRNA from 1 species
GAGGAAUAUUGCGCAAUGGAGGCAACUCUGACGCAGCCAUGCCGCGUGCAGGAAGAAGGCGCUACGCGUUGUAAACUGCUUUUAACCGGGAAGAAACCCCAGGACGUGUCCUGGGUUGACGGUACCGGAGGAAUAAGCACCGGCUAACUUCGUGCCAGCAGCCGCGGUAAUACGAAGGGUGCAAGCGUUAUCCGGAUUCAUUGGGUUUAAAGGGUGCGUAGGCGGAGCGUUAAGUCAGUGGUGAAAUCCUGCAGCUUAACUGUAGACUUGCCAUUGAUACUGGCGCUCUUGAGUGCGCUUGAAGUAGGCGGAAUGUGUCGUGUAGCGGUGAAAUGCUUAGAUAUGACACAGAACACCGAUUGCGAAGGCAGCUUACUAAGGCGAUACUGACGCUGAGGCACGAAAGCGUGGGGAUCGAAC